CUUUGGCUGAACCCAGUGUUCGCGAUGCUCCGAGCUGUGGUUUCAAGCCCCUGAAGUCUCUGUAGUCUGCUACGAGGUUCUAGUAACUAUAUGGGAUUCAGAUUUCCUCCUUUCCCCUGACAGAUUAGCUACCUGUCACAGGAAACCACUGUAACAGUGGGAGGUUGUUGUUUGAUUGAAUUCAGACAAAAUUUGUGAUCACAAAUCGCCACAUUUGUGAUUUUAAAGUCUGCAGUUGAAUCUGCUGUUGAGGGAUUUGUCACUUUGAUUCUUGUCUCUAUCGUCUGCUACGAAGUUCUAGUAACUAUACAGUAUGGGAUUCAGAUUUCCUCCUUUCCCCUGACAGAUUAACUACCUGUCACAGGAAACCACUGUAACAGUGGGAGGCUGUUGUUUGAAUGAAUUCAGACAAAAUCCGUGAUC